UGCGUUACCCGUCGACGGUCACACAACGGCAAGUUUUCCCCGAUAUUUGUUGCAAAUUGUUACAGAAAAUCGAUCGCAGAUUUUUCGGUGUGAGAAUUAAAUAGAGAAAGUGUUACAAAAAUGUGAAACGCCGAGAAAAUUAUCGAUAAUAAACGAAUUUUUGAAAAAUAAACGCAAAACAAGCACCAACAUGAAAAAUUUUAGAGUAUGUGUGUUUCAUUGCCAAAGCAACAACAACAACAACAACACCAACG